rnacentral:rRNA from 1 species
AAGAGCUUGCUUUUCCGCUGACGACCGGCGCACGGGUGCAUAACACGUAUGCAACCUACCUCGUUACUGAAGGAUAGGCCCAGAGAAAUUUGGAUUAAUACUUCAUAACACCACAAGAUCGGCAUGAUCUCAUGGUUAAAGGUUACGGUAAGAGAUGGGCAUGCGUCCUAUUAGUUUGUUGGUGAGGUAAUGGCUCACCAAGACUACGAUAGGUAGGGGGUCUGAGAGGAUUAUCCCCCACACUGGUACUGAGACACGGACCAGACUCC